rnacentral:rRNA from 1 species
AUUGAACGCUGGCGGCAGGCCUAACACAUGCAAGUCGAACGGUAACAGGAAGCAGCUUGCUGCUUUGCUGACGAGUGGCGGACGGGUGAGUAAUGUCUGGGAAACUGCCUGAUGGAGGGGGAUAACUACUGGAAACGGUAGCUAAUACCGCAUAACGUCGCAAGACCAAAGAGGGGGACCUUCGGGCCUCUUGCCAUCGGAUGUGCCCAGAUGGGAUUAGCUAGUAGGUGGGGUAACGGCUCACCUAGGCGACGAUCCCUAGCUGGUCUGAGAGGAUGACCAGCCACACUGGAACUGAGACACGGUCCAGACUCCUACGGGAGGCAGCAGUGGGAAUAUUGCACAAUGGGCGCAAGCCUGAUGCAGCCAUGCCGCGUGUAUGAAGAAGGCC